rnacentral:rRNA from 1 species
GAUGAACGCUGGCGGCGUGCCUAAUACAUGCAAGUCGAGCGAACAGAUGAGGAGCUUGCUCCUCUGACGUUAGCGGAGGACGGGUGAGUAACACGUGGAUAACCUACCUAUAAGACUGGGAUAACUUCGGGAAACCGGAGCUAAUACCGGAUAAUAUAUUGAACCGCAUGGUUCAAUAGUGAAAGACGGUUUUGCUGUCACUUAUAGAUGGAUCCGCGCCGCAUUAGCUAGUUGGUAAGGUAACGGCUUACCAAGGCAACGAUGCGUAGCCGACCUGAGAGGGUGAUCGGCCACACUGGAACUGAGACACGGUCCAGACUCCUACGAGAGGCAGCAGUAGGGAAUCGUCCGCAAUGGGCGAAAGCCUGACGGAGCAACGCCGCGUGAGUGAUGAAGGUCUUCGGAUCGUAAAACUCUGUUAUUAGGGAAGAACAAAUUUGGAAGUAACUAUGCACGUCUUGACGGUACCUAAUCAGAAAGCCACGGCUAACUACGUG